rnacentral:rRNA from 1 species
CUACGGGUCGCAGCAGUGGGGAAUAUUGCACAAUGGGCGCAAGCCUGAUGCAGCAACGCCGCGUGAACGAAGAAGGUUUUCGGAUCGUAAAGUUCUUUUCUUAGGGAAGAAACCAUGACGGUACCUAAGGAAUAAGCACCGGCUAACUACGGUGCCAGCAGCCGCGGUAAUACGUAGGGUGCAAGCGUUAUCCGGAAUCACUGGGCGUAAAGGGUGCGUAGGCGGUCUGACAAGUCAGGAGUGAAAGGCAGUGGCUCAACCAUUGUAAGCUUUUGAAACUGUCGGACUUGAAUGCAGGAGGGGCAAGUGGAAUUCCUAGUGUAGCGGUGAAAUGCGUAGAUAUUAGGAGGAACACCAGUGGCGAAGGCGACUUGCUGGACUGUAAUUGACGCUGAGGCACGAAAGCGUGGGGAGCAAACAGGAUUAGAUACCCGCGUAGUC